UUCAAGUUGAUACUUUAUAUUUAGCUGAGUCGGGGUGUCCGACUGACGCUUCUGUGUUUGUGAAAUUAAAUCAAGGGGCCUUGCUUUGAGAGAUGGUGCAAGCACUUCUUUCAUUUGCCUCCUUUUCCUAUUCCCUUUGCCACCAAUUUCUGGAAUACCUGAACCAUCCAGUGCUAACAUAAACACAGCUAGGGUUGAUCCGACAAAGAUGGGGGUCGGACGGGCCAUUGCUGUACUGACAUCAGGUGGUGAUGCCCAAGACCAGAAAUGCGGGUUCUCGUCUGAAUGUGAUAAUUGUGGCUGAGGGAGCAAUCAACAAAGAAGGGAAACCAAUCACCUGUGACCAGCUAAAAGAUACUCUGCGUGUAUGUUGGGCAUGAGGAAGACAGGACUGGUGUUAGCCUCUGGCUGAAUUGAAAGAACAAACAGAUUUUGAACACUGUAUUCCGCAGAACCAGUGGUGGUUGAAGCUGAGGCCUAUUAUGAAGAUCUUGGCCAAGUACAAGAUUAGUCUGGACACCUCUGAACACGCUCUUAUGGAGCAUGUCAUCAGCAGGAAGCCUCCAAUUCACGACUCUCACGUAGUAAUCAUGAGCAAAAAUGUGGGCCGACAGAUACAAAAAAAAAAAAAAAAAAACCAUAUGAAAUGACUGAAUUAUUUAUUUAAAUUAUUUGUUCAUCUGUCUAUUUCUUAUACUUUCAUUUUGUUUGUAUUUAUAGUAUUUAUGGUAAUGCUUGUGCACUAUUUUAUCUGAUACAAAAUCUGACUGAAUAUAAAUUUCUUAGACAAGAAAGAUUUAUUUCCUAUAUAUAAAGGAAACUUUUAUAUAAUUGUCCAGUAAAAGAACUAUGUUCACCACCAAAUGUCAGUCAUGAAUGGAUCAUCCUAGAAAUGCUAUAAUACAUCUGUAUGUUUAUUCAUUGUUAUGCAUUAUUGAAAUAAUGACACACAUUGUCUUAAUUUACAUGUACUGGUUGGAUGAAAUGCUCCUUUACUUUAAACUCCUUU
ensembl:lncRNA